AAAAGAAGUGAGUAACUGAGGCAACAAGAAGAUACAAGUGUAAGAUGAGAGUGGAGUUUGAUAUUCCAAAUAUGUAACGCCGGUGCCGGCUAUUUCCUCGGAAUAUUCAAGAUGAUAAUAUAUUAUGUUUUCUUGAAGAUGGAUGUUUUCAAAGUUGAAUACAUUUCAAUAACUGUUUGUAAUGUUUGGAUAUGGUAUGACAUAUUCG
rnacentral:lncRNA from 1 species